UACGGAGGGAGCUAGCGUUGUUCGGAAUUACUGGGCGUAAAGCGCACGUAGGCGGCUUUGUAAGUUAGAGGUGAAAGCCUGGGGCUCAACUCCAGAAUUGCCUUUAAGACUGCAUCGCUUGAAUCAUGGAGAGGCGAGUGGAAUUCCGAGUGUAGAGGUGAAAUUCGUAGAUAUUCGCAAGAACACCAGUGGCGAAGGCGGCUCACUGGCCCGGUAC
rnacentral:rRNA from 1 species